GUGAGGGUCUGGGCUGGGAUUCUGGCUGAUGAAACAGUGCUACUUGUUUGUUCAAGAUUGCCACAUGAGCUGGCCUGUGAUUCAGCAAGGAAGCAGAAGCGAGCAUGGGAUCAGGAGCCAGGCUCAGGCUGUGUGCGCAUCUUAUACUGCAUCUGGGAUUGCUGGGUUCCACCAUGCUGUUCCUUCUAGAUUUUAAAACUCCUGUGAUUGGGGACACAGACCAUCCAUUUCAAUACUUCAUCGCCAAAAGGGAGUCUUUGCAAAGAGAUUGUUGCCUGAAUAUUUUGAAAACGUUAA
rnacentral:lncRNA from 1 species